AAGGCAAGGAAGAGUGAAGAUCCGUCUGGUGAGGUGGGGAGAAGGGGCACCCGAUGAUCCCAGGACAGGUGGAUGGACCUCUGAGCGAGAGUUGGCACGUCCAGACCUGGCAGAUGACAUCCCAGGAGGUGGCCUUUGAUGUGUGAUGCUGAGGAGGGACAUGGACACACGUGCGGAUGGUCAGGUUCCACGGAGGAUCUGCGACAGAAACAAAUUUUUGGCGGCCUGCAGGAUGACGAGCCCUCAGGGACCCUGGCGUCCCGGCCUGGCACUCACAGGACACGUUGAGCUGGAUGGUCUUCUCCGUGCUCACACCAGCUCCUCCGGGGAAGGUCGCUCGACAGGUACGGUUGGUGCCGUGGUCCUGGGGCCUCC